rnacentral:rRNA from 1 species
AUUGAACGCUGGCGGCAGGCCUAACACAUGCAAGUCGAGCGGUAGCACAGAGAGCUUGCUCUCGGGUGACGAGCGGCGGACGGGUGAGUAAUGUCUGGGAAACUGCCUGAUGGAGGGGGAUAACUACUGGAAACGGUAGCUAAUACCGCAUAACGUCGCAAGACCAAAGAGGGGGACCUUCGGGCCUCUUGCCAUCAGAUGUGCCCAGAUGGGAUUAGCUAGUAGGUGGGGUAACGGCUCACCUAGGCGACGAUCCCUAGCUGGUCUGAGAGGAUGACCAGCCAAACUGGAACUGGGACACGGUCCAGACUCCUACGGGAGGCAGCAGUGGGGAAUAUUGCACAAUGGGCGCAAGCCUGAUGCAGCCAUGCCGCGUGUAUGAAGAAGGCCUUCGGGUUGUAAAGUACUUUCAGCGGGGAGGAAGGCGAUGGAGUUAAUAGCUUCAUCGAUUGACGUUACCCGCAGAAGAAGCACCGGCUAACUCCGUGCCAGCCGCCGCCGUAA